GUUUCAUACAUCAAUUGUGGUAUCUAUGAGCUACAACAUGAGGUUAAAAACCUAAAAGCAUAAAAGUCCACCAUUUUAACCUAGAGGACUAAUAAAGUCAUCAUAGUAGUUCUGGGGUAAGUUGAGCCAGUAGUUCAACAAAGAAAGUAAAGGAGUCUGAUGAAAGGAUCAGAGUUUCAGUUCAGAUUGUUGAAAUGUUUGACUUUGUCUUUUUAAAAAAUACAGCUCUUUGCUUCAUUCUGUUCCUUCUCAAACAGUUUAUUUUGACAUGCAUAUGUUGUGUAAAUUCAUCUUUGACAUGUCCAGUUGUUUGGUGUACAUAUGUAUUAUUUUGUUCGGUGUUUUUGUUUCCAGUUGUUUUUUUGUUGUUGUUGUUCUUAAAGUAUAAAAAAUAAAAAUACACAUGAAUAUGAAGAAGAGAAUUUUAUUUAGUGAGGGAGGUCUAGGGUGGAGAGUUGGGGCUAGUAGGGAUACGGCACAACUUACCCUGUUCCUAUGGUCAAUUCACCCCAUACACAGGGUAAAUUGACCAUAGGAGACCACUUUCUUUUGGCAUGCUACAUUAUCAAGACAGUUAUGUUUACACUCAUUCUGUUGGUUCGCAGGAACAACAUCCUGAAAUAUAUGCAGAUACACUGGUUAGAGACAAAACUAUGAUUGCCUUGAUGUAGUGAUCCGAAAUAUGAAAAAUGGCUCAUCUUACCCCACUCUCCCCUACUGGUGUGGAGUUAAAACACAAUUUAACAUUGAAAACAUCUUUAAGUUGAACUUGUUCUUAAAGGAAAUAGGAGAGUUACUUUUUCAUGAUUAAAUGGAACAAAGGGAUUUUUUACUGUCAUAACCAUUUAUACCCAUUCAUACUCAGUCUUUGCAGUAAAAGCAGAAGACGCACAGUUGUUUCCAGGAGCUGUUGAUGGCUUUGCUUUAGUAGCAGUUAAUAGGCUCACACUCACCCAAAGUGGGAGAUGACCCAGAGUAGUAUAAGGACAUCACUUUUCCUGUAGGCAAGUCUGUGACAGCCCUCCGUGACUGGUCACAGUAUAAUGGAUGUGUAAUGGGAGGAACAGUGGACUCUGCUGCGGUAAGCAAUA